rnacentral:rRNA from 1 species
UUCGGUUAAGUUAUGAAGGGCGCACGGUGGAUGCCUUGGCACUAGGAGCCGACGAAGGACGGGACUAACACCGAUAUGCUUUGGGGAGCUGUAAGUGAGCUUUGAUCCAGAGAUUUCCGAAUGGGGGAACCCAUUGUUCGUAAUGGAACAAUAUCCUUACUUGAAUACAUAGAGUAUGG